UGGGGAGUCGCCAAGUGGCUAAGGCACGGGUCUUUGGAACCCGCAUUCGAAGGUUCGAAUCCUUCCUCCCCAGCCA
rnacentral:tRNA from 3 species